rnacentral:rRNA from 1 species
UACGUAGGGGGCAAGCGUUGUCCGGAAUCAUUGGGCGUAAAGCGCGUGUAGGCGGCCCGGUAAGUCCGCUGUGAAAGUCGGGGGCUCAACCCUCGAAUGCCGGUGGAUACUGUCGGGCUAGAGUGCGGAAGAGGCGAGUGGAAUUCCUGGUGUAGCGGUGAAAUGCGCAGAUAUCAGGAGGAACACCAAUUGGCGAAGGCAGCUCGCUGGGACGUGACUGACGCUGAGACGCGAAAGCGUGGGGAGCGAACAGG